GAUGAAGAACGUAGCGAAAUGCGAUAAGUAAUAUGAAUUGCAGAAUUCAGUGAAUCAUCGAAUCUUUGAACGCACAUUGCGCCCGCCAGUAUUCUGGCGGGCAUGCCUGUUCGAGCGUCAUUACAACCCUCAGGCCCCCGGGCCUGGCGUUGGGGAUCGGCGGAGCCCCCCGUGGGCACACGCCGUCCCCCAAAUGCAGUGGCGGUCCCGCCGCAGCUUCCAUCGCGUAGUAGCUAACACCUCGCGACUGGAGAGCGGCGCGGCCACGCCGUAAAACACCCAACUCUUCUGAAGUUGACCUCGAAUCAGGUAGGAAUACCCGCUGAACUUAAGCAUAUCAAUAAGCGGAGGA
rnacentral:misc_RNA from 1 species